UGAGGUAAAGGACUACAUGAACCUGAUUACAAAUUAAACUUGAAUGAACCAUAAAACAAACAACAUUUGUCUUUCAAAAUCAACUGAAGGAUCAAGAAGGAUGCGUUUCAUCUUCAUCAAAGUUGGUGCAUCAUCAUCAUCAUUUCUGUGUUUCUGCUGUAUAUCUCAGGUGUUUUCUCUGAUCCUGUGAGGGUAAAAGUUGAGGGUUUUGUUGGAGACUCAGCUAUCUUCUCUUGUUCGAUCCCUGAAAGUGAGAUUCAAGGCAAAACAGAAGAAUUCAGUGUACACUUGAGAGACGAUGAAGGCAAGACAGUGUGUGACAUCACUGGAGGCAACAGUACAUGUAAAGAUCAAGAUCCAAAGUACAAGGACAGAGUCGAAACAUUCCCAGACGAGUAUAAGAAGGGUAACUUCACCUUUAAACUCAACGGUCUUCAAAAAAACGAUGCAAGGAAGUACAACUGUUACAUCACAGGACCAUCUCAGAAUCACACCAUCACAGAGCUUCAUGUUGAAGAUAGAGCAGGAGGAAGAGGCAACCACGGAAGACUAAAGAUUGAUGGAGAACUACAAUCAAUUGUCUUUUUUUUAGUCCGAUUUUUCUUAGCUGGCAUACUGAAUUUAAUGUUUGUAGCAGUCACUUUUUGUGUAGCAAGGAUGGUAUUCAGGUACUAGUGUAUUGGGGGGUCCCUGGUCCCUGAUAAUUGCACCACCUUUCACCACGUCAGCAACAGAUUGUUUGUUUUCUUCUGUUACUGACAAUCAGUCAGACACAGUGUCGGAAGUAUUUUUACUCCGUUACAGUACUUCAGUACAUUUUUCAAACUGAAAAAAAAAAACAACAACAACAAAACACCAUAAUUCUUUGAUAUUUCAACCUGAACAUUUCAGACAUGAAGAACCCAAGCACAGUAUAAUAUUAGGAAACUUGACUUUACUAGAUGAUUAAAAUGGUCAGGAAAUAUAAACCAUCACAUGCAAUGACAAAUUAAACAUAAUAGCUGCAUAUACACAAGUUACCUAAAAGAGACUUUUAACAUACAUGAACAUCAAAAUAAAAGUAUCUAAGAGUAUCUAAAAUCAUGAAAACUAAACAAAUUGUUACAACAAUUGUCCUUGAAUCCAUUUUAGGAAAAAAACAACAACUAUUUUUCACAAUCCCUAUCCAAACAACACAUUUGUGAAAACUAAAUCUAAAUUGACUAAAUCAACCCAGUGUACUCAC